AUCUGUGUUUGUAUGUGCCAGUGUGUGUAUCUGUGUGUCAAUGUGUAUCUGUGUGUGUGUGUGUGUUUGUAUGUAUCUAACACACAGAUACACAUAUACACUGGCACAUAGUGGCACACAGAUACACACACUGACACACAGAUACACACACCAUGACACAUAGUGUGUA